GACGAACGCUGGCGGCGUGCUUAACACAUGCAGGUCGAACGGAAAGGCCCUGCUUUUGUGGGGUGCUCGAGUGGCGAACGGGUGAGUAACACGUGAGUAACCUGCCCUUGACUUUGGGAUAACUUCAGGAAACUGGGGCUAAUACCGGAUAGGAGCUCCUGCUGCAUGGUGGGGGUUGGAAAGUUUCGGCGGUUGGGGAUGGACUCGCGGCUUAUCAGCUUGUUGGUGGGGUAGUGGCUUACCAAGGCCUUGACGGGUAGCCGGCCUGAGAGGGUGACCGGCCACAUUGGGACUGAGAUACGGCCCAGACUCCUACGGGAGGCAGCAGUGGGGAAUAUUGCACAAUGGGCGGAAGCCUGAUGCAGCAACGCCGCGUGCGGGAUGACGGCCUUCGGGUUGUAAACCGCUUUCGCCUGUGACGAAGCGUGAGUGACGGUAAUGGGUAAAGAAGCACCGGCUAACUACGUG
rnacentral:rRNA from 1 species